CGUUUGAAUGUCGCGGUUACGCACAUUUGUACGGAAUGGGCUGGACUUCUGAUUUCCACCCCGUCUCCUCUGAUCUGCCUGCAGACAUCCGACAGCCUUUUGCCAGCCUGUGAGCUGUCAAAGUACCCCUGGAAUCAAACGCCCAGCCAUCACAUCUCCAUGCUCUGGCAUGAUCAAAGAGGCACAGGGUUUGAUGGAAUUCUGGCUGGACAAUCAGACCUUGAUGAUGAUACUUGAGUUCUCAGAAAGAAGAGGAGAGAGGUCAUAUAAAGACAUUCAACAAGUAGUCUGCACUAUCCACCUCACCAUCACACAGAAGAGCUCCUCUGUCCAGUGGGACGCCUGCUGCCCCUCUCAGAGCUGGGCGACCUUUCACCUCUGCUGGGCACUGAGGCAGACACGAGCCUCUGAGUGUCUGCUUCCAUCGUCUGCCCACUCCCUCCCUGUGUGUUUGUAAUGCGGUGUGUGUGCGUUCGGAGUGUGUGUGUUUGUGUACGGUCCGUGGAUCAUCCACAGCCACGGGCCUCUCCUGGCCACUCCUGGCCCUCAAACAAGGCAGAGGCUUCAGCUUGAUUAACCACUUAGUUCAUCCUCUCAGACAGAAUACUGCAGGGAGAAAGCAGAGUAAUGAAGUGCUUCUCUGACGCCUUGAAUUUUUGGGGUUCAAUAUUGUUUGCUCCCUGUGAAUAAUCUGAAGAUGUUUAUUUUUCAUCAAAACAAGUGACCCUCCAUGUCCCUCUCUCGUCAGCCCUAACUGGUGUGAAUAAACAUAAUCAAUAUAGUAUAUAUUUUGAGAGGGAAUUGGAGGCUUUUUCCCUCAAAUCACUUCUGAUGGGCUGUUCGUCUUUCUAAUUAUGUAGAUUAUACUGUGUGUGUCAGACAUGGGCUCAACAGACGUGGAAUAGAAGAGUGCUUUGCCUUUGUACCGGACGGAACAGAGUGUCAGAGUUCCACAAAGGUUGGCAAUUACGUUCUCCUGUGUGCUUCUUUGUUCAUGAGAAGAGGAACUGCACUCGACAGACAGUCUAUCCAUGUCUGUCUCAAGAAUGAUUGAGGGUUGAGGAGUCGAGACUUAGUUGAAAGUCAAGUAGCUGUGCAGAGCCUGCAGUCUAGCAGCAACACUGACGGCUAGACACAUAUACCAAUCCUGGUUCAAUUCCCACAUCCACUUUUCUUACUGUUCUCCUACUUGUCUGUUUCCAACUGUCUAAAUAAAGUGGAAAAUGACA